rnacentral:rRNA from 1 species
GAUGAACGCUGGCGGCGUGCUUAACACAUGCAAGUCGAGCGAAGCAUUUGCGACAGAUUUUUUCGGAAUGAAGUUGCUUAUGACUGAGUGGCGGACGGGUGAGUAACGCGUGGGUAACCUGCCUUGUACUGGGGGAUAGCAGCUGGAAACGGCUGGUAAUACCGCAUAAGCGCACAAUGUUGCAUGACAUGGUGUGAAAAACUCCGGUGGUAUAAGAUGGACCCGCGUCUGAUUAGCUAGUUGGUGAGAUAACAGCCCACCAAGGCGACGAUCAGUAGCCGACCUGAGAGGGUGACCGGCCACAUUGGGACUGAGACACGGCCCAGACUCCUACGGGAGGCAGCAGUGGGGAAUAUUGCACAAUGGAGGAAACUCUGAUGCAGCGACGCCGCGUGAGUGAAGAAGUAAUUCGCUAUGUAAAGCUCUAUCAGCAGGGAAGAUAGUGACGGUACCUGACUAAGAAGCGCCGGCUAAAUACGUG